rnacentral:tRNA from 1 species
GGGCCGGUGGUCUAGUUCGGAAGGACGCUCCCUCGGCAGGGGAGUGAUCGCGGGUUCAAAUCCCGCCCGGUCCACCA